rnacentral:rRNA from 1 species
GGAAUCGCUAGUAAUCAAAGAUCAGCAUGUCGCGGUGAAUACGUUCCCGGGCUUUGUACACACCGCCCGUCACACCAUGGGAGUGGGUUCCACCAGAAGUAGUUAGCCUAACCGCAAGGAGGGCGAUUACCACGGUGGGAUUCAUGACUGGGGUGAAGUCGUAACAAGGUAGUCGUAUCGGAAGGUGGGGAAAGAUCACCUCCUU